UCCUUACUCAAACUCACCCUUUGCUCCCUUGGGUGCAACCACAAAUAUUUGUUGUAGGAAACAAAUAUUUGACUCUGGAAAACACUUUGAAAAGCGUCUUUUAUAGCAUCAUUUUUGGAAAUGCAGCAGUGCCUUUGGAUAACAUGCCUGGUGCAACUGAGCUGUUUCGUACAUGUGGUUGGGAUGAUUUAAAGUGACAUGCAUGCAAUUAUAGCAGGCAGAUGAAGAAGGACAUUGAAGAGAACCCCUAAAAUAGGGUCUGCACUCAGGAUAGCCAGCAUUGGACUAUGAUUCUGAAUUUGAAUCCUGCUCAGCCAUAGAAAGCAGUUGGGUGACUCUCUCAGCAAACCCCCUUUGAAUAUAUCCUAUUAGAAAACUCUGUGAUUUUCUCAUCGGAAAUGACUUGAAGGAACACAACAACAACAACAACAACAACAACAACAACAACAAGAAACUCUGAAUAGAUUCUUGAAAGUUCAGACUAAAUCCCAGAAGGAACUCACCAUUCCAGGCAGCACUUAAUGUUUAUGUUUCUUAAGUAAAGAAUGCCAUGUUCUAGAACGUU